UCCCUUCCUCCAAUCAAUAUGGAUCCUUGCCCUUACGUGCGCAUCGCCGUUGGGGAUUUGGCCUUGAAUCUCCCGCACAACUUCUACUCCAAAUCCAAGCUCAGAGGAUUCCCCUCUCAGCUCUCAGACAUCCCAUGCGGCGGCGCUGUCGAUGCCAGGAUCCAUGCUUGCUUCACUUUGAACAAGUCGGAGCUAGAAAAGUUGGUUGAAAAAUCCUCCAAAUUUUCUUGUUUGAAGAUCAAGAUUUACCAGCGCAGUGGUGACGAGGGCAGCGGGUGUGGGUUAGUGAUGAAGAGUAGUAAGAUGUUAGGAUGCGUUGAGGUGCAGUUGGAUGUCAAGAGUAUUGUGGAGAGCAGCGGCUACAACCGCGCCUGCCCCAUCCGGAGCGGGUGGAUCCCAAUCCGGAGCGGGGCGGAUGUGGAUGUGAAGCUCCACUUGAAUGUGCGGGCUGAGCCCGACCCGAGAUUCGUGUUCCAGUUCGACGGAGAGCCUGAGUGCAGCCCGCAGAUCUUCCAGAUCAACGGGAACCUCGUCAAGCAGCCUGUCUUCACCUGCAAAUUCACCUUCCGAAACUGCAGCGAGAGGAAUUCAAGAUCCAGAUGCUCGAUUUCGACAUCAGAGCGAGGCGCGGGAGCGUGGUGUUUGGGUUUGAAUAAGGAGGAAGGAGGUGAAGUUGGAGAAGAGAGGAAGGGGUGGUCGAUCACCAUCCACGAUCUAUCGGGGUCGCCGGUGGCGGCGGCGUCGAUGGUGACGCCGUUCGUGCCAUCGCCAGGCGCCGACAGCGUGGGGAGAUCGAAUCCGGGGUCGUGGCUGAUCCUACGGCCGGGGUACAGCGCGUGGAAGCCGUGGGGCCGCCUGGAGGUCUGGCGAGAGAGCGCCAACGUCUGCUAUCGCUUCGAGCUCAUCCCCGAUGGCGCCCUCGACGCGAUACCGCUCGCCAGUUCCAACGUCAGUGCCAAAACAGGAGGGAAAUUCGUCGUCGACAUCACGACGGGCCCCACCCCCAUGGCUAGUCCAAGCAGCAGCUUCGAUUUCAGCUCCGGGUGCGGGUCGUCGUCGGCGUCCGGGUCAGGAUCAUGGGCGCACCUGCUGUACCGGGGGUUCGUGAUGUCGUCCACGGUGGGGGGAGUGAAGCCGGUGGUGGAGGUGGGCGUGCAGCACGUGACUUGCACGGAGGAUGCGGCUGCGUUUGUGGCCCUUGCUGCCGCCAUGGAUCUCAGCAUGGAUGCUUGCCGCCUCUUCUCGCAGAAACUCAAGAAGGAACUAAGGCAACCGGAUCUUUGCUGAACCAUUUCGGGUCGGGUGACUGACGGAUACAUUCGGAUGAAGUCGCUAUUGGACCGCAACCUUGUUGCUACAGAUUAAUUUAUUUUAAUUUUUGUCUGCACAGUGAACGUGAGCUGGUUCUCUAUAUCCAAACCCAACCACAAGAUCCGAGCCCUCAAUAUCAAGUGCAUAAUAAAGGAAAAUGAUCUCUCAACAAAAGAAACCGAGUGAGGAAGAAGAUUACCUGAAAGAGGUUGCCGGUGGCUACAAACUCUAACGGCAGAUAAGAUUGUGAAAAUUAACGCGGG